rnacentral:siRNA from 1 species
UAUGCCGGAGUCUGUGGGCAGGU